rnacentral:rRNA from 1 species
UGGGGAAUUUUGGACAAUGGGCGAAAGCCUGAUCCAGCAAUGCCGCGUGUGUGAAGAAGGCCUUCGGGUUGUAAAGCACUUUUGUCCGGAAAGAAAUCCUUGGCUCUAAUACAGUCGGGGGAUGACGGUACCGGAAGAAUAAGCACCGGCUAACUACGUGCCAGCAGCCGCGGUAAUACGUAGGGUGCAAGCGUUAAUCGGAAUUACUGGGCGUAAAGCGUGCGCAGGCGGUUUGCUAAGACCGAUGUGAAAUCCCCGGGCUCAACCUGGGAACUGCAUUGGUGACUGGCAGGCUGGAGUAUGGCAGAGGGGGGUAGAAUUCCACGUGUAGCAGUGAAAUGCGUAGAGAUGUGGAGGAAUACCGAUGGCGAAGGCAGCCCCCUGGGCCAAUACUGACGCUCAUGCACGAAAGCGUGGGGAGCAAACAGGAUUAGAUACCCUGGUAGUCCACGCCCUAAACGAUGUCAACUAGUUGUUGGGGAUUCAUUUCCUUAGUAACGUAGCUAACGCGUGAAGUUGACCGCCUGGGGAGUACGGUCGCAAGAUUAAAACUCAAAGGAAUUGACGGGGUCAUAGCUGUUUCCUG